GAUGAACGCUGGCGGCGUGCCUAAUACAUGCAAGUCGAGCGAACAGACGAGGAGCUUGCUCCUCGGACGUUAGCGGCGGACGGGUGAGUAACGCGUGGAUAACCUACCUAUAAGACGGGUAUACUUCGGGAAACCGGACCUAAUACCGGUAAAUAUAUCUAACCGCAUGGGUCGAUAGGGAAAGACGGGUUUGCGGUCACGGAUACGUGGAUCCGCGCCGCAUUAGCUGGGUGGUCAGGUAACAGCGUACCAAGGCAAAGAGGCGCAGCCGACGUGAGAGGGUGAUAGGCGGCCCUGGAAGUGGGACGCGGUCCAGGCUCCUGCGGGAGGGCGCAGUAGGGUAUGGUACGCAACGGGCGGAAGCAUGACGGAGCAGGGCCGCGUGAGUGAUGAAGGUCCUGGGUUCGGAAAACUCUGUUAUUAGGGAAGAACAAAUGUGUAAGUAACUAUGCACGUCGUGACGGUAACGGAUCAGAAAGCCCCGGCUAACUACGUG
rnacentral:rRNA from 1 species